rnacentral:rRNA from 1 species
CCUACGGGUGGCUGCAGUGGGGAAUAUUGGACAAUGGGGGCAACCCUGAUCCAGCCAUGCCGCGUGUGUGAAGAAGGCCCUCGGGUUGUAAAGCACUUUCAGUGAGGAAGAACGCCUGGUGGUUAAUACCCAUCAGGAAAGACAUCACUCACAGAAGAAGCACCGGCUAACUCCGUGCCAGCAGCCGCGGUAAUACGGAGGGUGCGAGCGUUAAUCGGAAUUACUGGGCGUAAAGCGCGCGUAGGUGGCUUGAUAAGCCGGUUGUGAAAGCCCCGGGCUCAACCGGGGAACGGCAUCCGGAACUGUCAAGCUAGAGUGCAGGAGAGGAAGGUAGAAUUCCCGGUGUAGCGGUGAAAUGCGUAGAGAUCGGGAGGAAUACCAGUGGCGAAGGCGGCCUUCUGGACUGACACUGACACUGAGGUGCGAAAGCGUGGGUAGCAAACAGGAUUAGAUACCCUGGUAGUC